UACGUAGGGCGCAAGCGUUAUCCGGAAUUAUUGGGCGUAAAGAGCUCGUAGGCGGUCUGUCGCGUCGGCUGUGAAAACCCGGGGCUCAACCCCGGGCCUGCAGUCGAUACGGGCAGACUGGAGGUAUGCAGGGGAGAACGGAAUUCCUGGUGUAGCGGUGAAAUGCGCAGAUAUCAGGAGGAACACCGGUGGCGAAGGCGGUUCUCUGGGCAUUACCUGACGCUGAGGAGCGAAAGUGUGGGGAGCGAACAGG
rnacentral:rRNA from 1 species